rnacentral:rRNA from 1 species
GUAGUCUCGCACAGAUGCAUAUCAAUAAGCGGAGGAAAAGAAACUAACAAGGAUUCCCUUAGUAACGGCGAGUGAAGCGGGAAGAGCUCAAAUUUGAAAUCUUCAAGGUUUUACCUUGACGAAUUGUAGUUUAAAGAAGUGUUUUCUGUUGAAGUUUUGGUAAAAGUUCUUUGGAAUAGGACAUCAUAGAGGGUGAGAAUCCCGUAUUUGACCAUUGUUUUCAGCUGUGUGAUACACUUUCAAAGAGUCGGAUUGUUUGGGAAUGCAGUCCAAAAUGGGUGGUAAAUUUCAUCUAAAGCUAAAUAUUGGCGAGAGACCGAUAGCGAACAAGUACCGUGAGGGAAAGAUGAAAAGAACUUUGAAAAGAGAGUUAAACAGUACGUGAAAUUGUCAAAAGGGAAGCGUUUGACACCAGUGUUGUUUUCUCGAAAAUCAAUUAAAAAGAGUUUGAUUUUGUUGUGUAUUGACCUUAACAGCUUGCAUUUCAAUUUUCUUGCUUUUUUUAAUGCACUUUUCGUUUAACAAGUCAACAUCAGUUUCUUUUGUUGUAAAAAGGUCAUUGGAAGGUGGCUUUCUUUUCGGAGAAAGUGUUUAUAGCCUUUGACUCCUGCAAUCGGAGAGACUGAGGUCUGCAGCGUAGAUCCUUCGGGGUUAGAUACAUUUGUGCUAAGUUAUAGCUUUUUAUAGACAACUUGUUGACUAUGAUUAGUCUUGUAGCUUACUCGCUUAUGCUAUUUUACCUACGCUUAGGAUGUUGAGCGCAUGUCUCUCUCU